CGCCGGUUGAAAGCGCGUGUCUGCGUCGGGUUCUGUUGGAGUGCGUUCGGUGCGCCGUGGGUCCGCGCUGCUUCCACCCAACUUCCUGUUAGAUGACCGCCGUGUGGUAAACUGAUGAACCCCGACCCUGAUGAACGUGAGAUGACCGCCGUGUGGUAAACUGAUGAACCCCGACCCUGAUGAACGUGAGAUGACCGCCGUGUGGUAAACUGAUGAACCCCGACCCUGAUCAACGUGAGAUGACCGCCGUGUGGUAAACUGAUGAACCCCGACCCUGAUGAACAUGAGAUGACCGCCGUGUGGUAAACUGAUGAACCCCGACCCUGAUCAACAUGAGAUGACCGCCGUGUGGUAAACUGAUGAACCCCGACCCUGAUCAACAUGAGAUGACUGCCGUGUGGUAAACUGAUGAACCCUGACCCAUUAGGCUUUGGCUACAGAAUGUGGAAAUAAGUUGUGUUACUACAUGUGUGUAAUCCUAGGGUGCAGGACACCGGCCGGGAGGUUCCAUAGAGUGAUGGGUUCUGCAGGUAACUCAUCCUCUAGUCCUCUGUAAGCUCCUAGAAGGAAGAAAUUAUGUCCUUUAGACUAAUAAAAUUCCUCCAAACCAAAUACAGCACCUACUGUGAAGACACAAAGAUACUUUUAGAAUAGUAAAAACUUUAUCCAUUGAGAAAUUCCUUAAUGAAACAGUAUCCAAGAAGUCAUUUGCCAGCAGAUUUCUUAGAGGUGCGAUAAAGAAGAGGACAUUGCCAGUCGUCACAGCAGCUGCAAUAGCUCCUCUCUAUUGUUAAACAGUGGGAUAUCUUGUGCAGGUUUUCAGUUGACAAUCAAUUUUAAAGAUUAGUUUCGGUCCCCAUCAAUCAAUUAUUUAUU
rnacentral:lncRNA from 1 species